rnacentral:sRNA from 1 species
GCCAGGCAUGGUGGUGCAUGCCUGUAAUCCCAGCAGCAUGGGAUUCUGAGACGGGAGGAUUGCGAGUUCAAAGCCAGUCUCAGCAAAAGCAACUCAGUGAGACCCUGUCUCUA